GACGAACGCUGGCGGCAGGCUUAACACAUGCAAGUCGAACGCAUCCUUCGGGGUGAGUGGCAGACGGGUGAGUAACGCGUGGGAAUCUACCCAUCUCUGCGGAAUAGCUCCGGGAAACUGGAAUUAAUACCGCAUACGCCCUACGGGGGAAAGAUUUAUCGGGGAUGGAUGAGCCCGCGUUGGAUUAGCUAGUUGGUGGGGUAAAGGCCUACCAAGGCGACGAUCCAUAGCUGGUCUGAGAGGAUGAUCAGCCACAUUGGGACUGAGACACGGCCCAAACUCCUACGGGAGGCAGCAGUGGGGAAUAUUGGACAAUGGGCGCAAGCCUGAUCCAGCCAUGCCGCGUGAGUGAUGAAGGCCUUAGGGUUGUAAAGCUCUUUCACCGAUGAAGAUAAUGACGGUAGUCGGAGAAGAAGCCCCGGCUAACUUCGUGCCAGCAGCCGCCGUAA
rnacentral:rRNA from 1 species